UACGUAGGGGGCAAGCGUUGCCCGGAUUUAUUGGGCGUAAAGAGCGUGUAGGCGGCCAGACAGGUCCGUUGUGAAAACUCGAGGCUCAACCUCGAGACGCCGAUGGAAACCGUCUGGCUAGAGUCCGGAAGAGGAGAGUGGAAUUCCCGGGUGUAGCGGUGAAAUGCGCAGAUAUCGGGAAGAACACCCGUGGCGAAGGCGGCUCUCUGGGACGGUACUGACGCUGAGACGCGAAAGCGUGGGGAGCGAACAGG
rnacentral:rRNA from 1 species